UACGAAGGGAGCUAGCGUUGUUCGGAAUCACUGGGCGUAAAGCGCACGUAGGCGGAUUUGUCAGGCAGGGGUGAAAUCCCGGGGCUCAACCUCGGAACUGCCUUUGAUACAGCAAGUCUUGAGUUCGAGAGAGGUGGGUGGAAUUCCUAGUGUAGAGGUGAAAUUCGUAGAUAUUAGGAAGAACACCGGUGGCGAAGGCGGCCCACUGGCUCGAUACUGACGCUGAGGUGCGAAAGCGUGGGGAGCAAACAGG
rnacentral:rRNA from 1 species